CAAGAACUAUGAUGGUGAUGUACAGAGUGAUUUCUUAGCACAAGGUUUUGGAUCCCUUGGGUUGAUGACCUCUGUCCUGGUGUGUCCUGAUGGCAAGACCAUUGAGGCUGAAGCAGCCCAUGGAACUGUUACCCGCCACUACAGGGUUCACCAGAAAGGAGGUGAAACCAGCACAAACAGCAUUGCCUCCAUCUUUGCCUGGACUCGUGGCCUUGCACACAGGGCAACAUUGGACAACAACGAACGGCUCUUGGAUUUUACUGAGAAACUAGAGGCAGCAUGCAUUGGUGCAGUGGAAUCUGGAAAGAUGACGAAAGAUCUUGCACUCAUCAUCCAUGGAUCCAAGCUUUCACGAGAGCAUUAUCUGAACACGGAAGAGUUCAUUGACGCUGUAGCUGAUGAGCUCAAAGCAAAACUUCUGAAAGCAAAGGCCUAAAUGUAUGAGUGAGGACAAGUCAGUUUGAGGCUAUUGAAUUGAAGAGAAAUAAAAGGAGUUGAGGCCUUGUUUGGUAUACUAAAUUUCAAGAGGUUUUUAUCCUUUUUAGGUUGAGGAUUAUUCUCCAGACACUACAUUUUGAACCAUUUGAAUCUGAAUUUCUAUUGCUGAUGUUGCUGCAAGUUAUUUGCCAAUUUAUAGUUUUACACAUAGUUUG
rnacentral:misc_RNA from 1 species